rnacentral:sRNA from 1 species
GUUUGCCGCCAAAUGGGUCGCCGCAUCGAAAAUCGCAUAGCCUCAAUGCUCGACAGUCGCCUAGGACCACCGAAAAAUCACGCGGAAAUGCUAACCGAAUGGAUGAAUACCCUAAUGGGAUCAACUUCCGAAGACUAUGAUAUUGUCAUUCAUAACGUUGUGAAUUCGAUGAAAAAGCAGCUCGACGAGAUGCUCGGCGAGCCGCCCCAACACCACACUGAAUAUAUGGAUGAAGCCGGUGGUCCAUCAUCGACUAGUUCGAUGAAACGUAUGAAAAUGAUGAAUUCGCAUGGAGCAGCAGAGGAUGAUGAGGAUGAUGAUGAUGGGGGGCAUCAUCAUGUUGUUGGAAAUUCUGGAAAACCCAGAUUUGAAGG